UUUCCUCCUUAGAGUGUCUGGGCUAAGCCUUAGUGAUAGGGUGAGGAGCUCGGACAUCCGGAGGGAGCUCGGAGUAGAGCCGCUGCUCCUUCGCGUUGAAAGGAGCCAGUUGAUGUGGUUCGGGCAUCUGAUUAGGAUGCCUCCAUGGCGCCUUCCUUUGGAGGUUAACCGGGCACGGCCAAAUGGGAGGAGACCCCGGGGUAGAUCCAGAACUCACUGGAGGGACUACAUGUCCAAUCUGGCCUGGGAACGCCUUGGGAUCCCCCAGGAGGAGCUGGAGGAUGUUGCUGGGGAGAGGGAUGUCUGGAGUGCCCUACUUAGCUUGCUGCCACCACGACCCGACCCCCGAGAAGAGGUGAAGACCAAUGAAUGAGUGAAAAGUGAGGGGUUUCGCCAGGGGGACGUAACACAUGGGAGGAUCACGCUAUUCCCCCCAGUUCCCUCUCUCUCCCGAACAGGCGCCCCGACUGACCAGAGGAGGAGCUAGUGUAGGGACCAGGACACAUACCCACAUCCGGCUUCCCACCCGCAGACACGGCCAAUUGUGUCUGUAGGGAUGCCUGACCAAGCCGGAGGAGCAGUGAAGAUGGUGGACUAUACAUUUAGACAUUUCUUCAAUCAAACUUUCAAUAAACAGACUGACAUACACGCUUAGGAUGAAUAGCAAAAUACUGAUGAAAUAUAAUUAAGUUUACAUGUGUUGGGUAUUUUUCUAUCACUGGUGCAUUAUCACACUGAAGAUUGAGAAAUGAUUUUGUCAAUGUGGUGUGGUACCAAAGAACUUGCAAGCACUGGAAAAAAAAACAGUGUUUCAUACACAAAAUGUAAUGCUUGAAAUCACCUUUCAUAUAGUAGCUAU